CACGUAGGGCGCAAGCGUUGUCCGGAAUUAUUGGGCGUAAAGAGCUCGUAGGCGGUCUGUUGCGUCCGCUGUGAAAACUCGGGGCUUAACCCCGAGCCUGCAGUGGAUACGGGCAGACUAGAGGUAGGUAGGGGAGAAUGGAAUUCCCGGUGUAGCGGUGAAAUGCGCAGAUAUCAGGAAGAACACCGGUGGCGAAGGCGGCUCUCUGGGCCUUACCUGACGCUGAGGAGCGAAAGCGUGGGGAGCAAACAGG
rnacentral:rRNA from 1 species